GAUGGGCAUAUGCAAAUUAGUUUAACAAAGAAUCACAUUUUUGCCUCAUUCCAAAAAUGUGAUUCUUUGUUAAACUAAUUUGCAUAUGCCCAUCCAG